rnacentral:rRNA from 1 species
GAUGAACGCUAGCGGCGGGCCUAAUACAUGCAAGUCGAACGGGAUUGUUGGUAGCAAUACUGACAUGAGAGUGGCGCACGGGUGCGUAACACGUAUGUAACCUACCUUUAACUGGGGAAUAGCUUCGAGAAAUCGAAAUUAAUACCCCAUAACAUUUAGAAAAGGCAUCUUUUCUUUAUCAAAGCUCCGGCGGUUAAAGAUGGACAUGCGGUGCAUUAGCUUGUUGGUGAGGUAACGGCUCACCAAGGCUGCGAUGCAUAGGGGGUCUGAGAGGAUGAUCCCCCACACUGGUACUGAGACACGGACCAGACUCCUACGGGAGGCAGCAGUAGGGAAUAUUGGGCAAUGGACGAAAGUCUGACCCAGCCACGCCGCGUGAAGGAUGACGGCCCUAUGGGUUGUAAACUUCUUUUGUAUGGGAAGAAACCCCCGAACGUGUUCGGGGCUGACGGUACCAUAAGAAUAAGGAUCGGCUAACUCCGUGCCAGCCGCCGCGGUAAAAC